GCCGUUGUAGCUCAGUGGUAGAGCACUUCCAUGGUAAGGAAGGGGUCUCGGGUUCAAAUCCCGACAACGGCUCCA
rnacentral:tRNA from 1 species